CCUUCUUUUACCAUUCACUUCUUCUUCUCCUUGUUGUUGCUUACAAACUUUACUUCCUACACAUUCUCAUUAUGCAACCAUCAUGACAGCUCUGCCUUGUUACAAUUCAAGAACUCAUUUUUUGUCAACACUACACCUUCCGAUACUUUUUUGUGGAGGCGGUGUUCCUCUUUUUCUUUCAAAACAGAANNNNNNNNNNNNNNNNNNNNNNNNNNNUGACACCGUGUCAGAUUAUGUGAUUGGUCUGGACCUUAGUUGCAACAAUCUGAAAGGUGAAUUACAUCCCAAUAGCACUAUCUUCCAGCUUAAACAUCUUCAACAACUCAACUUGGCUUUUAAUCAUUUUUUCCCUUCUUCAUUGCAUGCUGGUAUUGGGGAUUUAGUGAAUCUCACACAUCUAAAUGUGUCAUACUGUUACCUCAGUGGUAAUAUUCCCUCCACAAUCUCUCAUUUGUCAAAAUUAAUAUCACUUGAUCUUAGCAUUAACUGGAUGGAGUACCGCAGGGGAUUGAAACUCAAUCCAUUGACAUGGAAGAAACUCAUUCAUAAUGCUACUAAUUUAAGGGAGCUUUAUCUUGAUAUUGUGGAUAUGUCUGCAAUCAAUAAAAGGUCUUUAUCUAUGCUAAAGAAUUUGUCAUCCUCUUUGGUUUCUCUUAGUCUAAGUGAAACUGAAUUGCAAGGAAAUUUGUCAAGUGACAUCCUCUCUUUACCCAACCUUCAAAAACUAGAUUUGUCAUAUAAUGAACUUAGUGGUCAACUUCCAAAGUCCAACUGGAGCAUGCCUCUAAGGUACUUGGACCUCUCUUCCACUUCUUUCUCAAGUGAAAUUCCUUAUUCCAUAGCUCAAUUGAAGUCUCUUACUCAUUUAUCCCUUCAAGAAUGCAAUUUCGAUGGGACGAUUCCUCUAUCUUUGUGGAACCUCACCCAACUAACACAUUUGGACCUUUCCAGUAACAACCUAACAGGCGAGGUUCCAUCAUCAUUUUUUCAUCUAUCUCAGCUUUCUUAUUUAGGUUUAUCAUUUAAUAAACUAGUUGGUCCAAUUCCAAAUGAAAUCACAAAACAUUCAANNNNNNNNNNNNNNNNNNNNNNNNNNNNNNNNNNNNNNNNNNNNNNNNNNNNNNNNNNNNNNNNNAACAACCACCUCACAGGGUUUAUUGGUGAGUUCACAACUUAUUCUCUGCAAUAUUUGUAUCUCUCUAAUAACAACCUACAUGGUCAUUUUCCAAAUUCAAUGAUUUGGAAAUGAUUCUUUUGAAGGAAAUACAAUGUUAUGUGGAUUCCAAGUGUCUAAAUCUUGCAAAAAGGAUGAAGAUCGGCCAUCACAUUCAACAUCUGAAGAUGAAGAGGAAUCAGGAUUUGGUUGGAAAGCAGUAGCAAUAGGAUAUGCGUGUGGGGCAAUAUUUGGGUUGCUCUUAGGACAUAAUGUAUUCUUCUUUGGAAAACCUGAAUGGCUUGCAAGACUUGUUGAACAUAUGUUUAAUAUGAGACUGAAGAGAAGAAACAACCGAUCCAGUGCAAAUAGCAGAAGAAUGAAUUAAUUUGAUGUUGGUCUUUUAAAAAAUAUAGAUACGUUUGUUUGUAAUUUCAACUUUUCUGUUUGAGUAAUGUAUUAUUUGUUUUAAAAUUAAUAUGUUGCGUUUAUUUCAAGUUGCUAUAUAAAUAAGAAAACUAGUGAUCAUUUGGUUUCAUGUUAUUUUCGUGAUUUUAUUAUGUAUAUACUUUCCGAAAUGUGCUCUGACUUUAUAUUGCUGUUAUUCAUUUGAUGUUUUUAAAUUCUGUAAUGGAUAGGAUAGGUGUUGGUGCGUGACAUGAAUGCCUUUAUCUUUUGAAGAAUGUAUGAAGUUAUUGUAUUUGAAACCAUAUCCUGAAUUUGUCAAUAAGUGUAUUGAACAUAAUAAAAGUGUUUAUCUCAUCAAGUAAGGUAUGCUAAAAUGCUCCCUUAGACAAUGCUUCAUAUAGUAUCCAACUAGCUACCAUGUUUUUAUUUUCCUUCCCUUUGUAUUUCUGCUUCAACCUUUCAAUGAAGUAUCACUCUAUAAAUUGAGAUUCAUUGUAUAGGUAAUGUGUCACUAUGAAGUACCGGCACAAACACAAACCAGGACACCAAACACGAAACCGAUACUACCGACACACAGGUACCUUUAANNNNNNNNNNNNNNNNNNNNNNNNNNNNNNNNAAAGGAAUCAUCAACACAAGCUGAAGCAACUUUUGAUAAUCUAACAGUAGCUUUCAUAUCAAAAGGAAUCAUCAACCUAGGAUUGAAAACUUCACUAAAUCUCACUACACAAACAGUCCUACCUCAUAUCCUGUUGACAUAAAAGUUCCAACAAAAUCACCCACCAACCCAUAAACACCACUUUCCUUAGAACCACCACCAGUCCACCCCUUCCUUCAUUCCAAAAUUCAGUAUCCAUGUAACCAACUAACCCUCUCUUUUCUACUGACCCUCCAUAAUCAGAAAUCCUAGCACAUAAAUUAGAGGACUUAACAUAACCAUGUACAAUAUUUGAUGAGUCUAAAUGAAGUAGAUGUGUUAAUUAGUAACUAAUACGAGAGCUUACAUCAUAAGCUCUUAUGCUUAAUAAGCUAUUUACGUUUGGAUAUGUUCGUUAAAAAGUACUUACAUAAAUUGAAGUGUUUGGAUGUCUCAUCACAUAAGCAAUUGUAAAUUUAAGAUUAACUUUGCAUAAAAAUAAAUUUAAUAUUGAUUCGAAAAGAUAAUUAAAAAAAAAAGGAUACUGUUAAAAAGAUAAGCGUAAAAAGAAAAGAAAAAACCGUAAAAAAGAUACCUUUAAGAUUCAUUCAAAAAAUAAAUUCUAAAAAAUAUGUUAAUAUUGUGCCAAAUGGAGCAUGCGGGAUUCAAAGCGGGAUCCUUUUUCAUAAGCUCCAUGUUAAGCAUAUUCAUAUUAAAAUAUGGCAUAAGUAGCUUGUGAAAUUGUGAUAAGCACUUUUGUUAAUAUAACGACUUAUAUCGGUAGAUAAGCUCACAUAAGCUUAAAACAAGUCGAUCCAAAUGGUGCCCAUGUACAAUUGAAGAAGUCCAACUUGAUCAAUAUACUAAAUAAGGUCAGUAUCGAAUUUCCUAAUUUCCUCUCUGUAAAUUUCCUACUAAGUAAGGUCCAACUUGAUCAUUACGUAGAAUUGAAGAAGUCCAAGUCUCUACUUUUGGACACAAUAUGUUGUCAUAAACACAUUCAAAUAAAGUUAGAACAUUCAAAAUUUCAACUUGAGUAUUACAUACACCGUUGAAAAAUCUUAGUCUUACUUAUCUUAAAAAUACACCAAUUGGUAAAACAUUUCUAUGGAUGCUAAUGGAUUAAUGUUAUUGUCAAUUGGUAAAACAUUUCUUUGGCCAUUCCUAAGGAAGAAUGUUAGUAAGCACACAAAUAGUUGAAUUAGGGUUAAGACGUCUUAUGUGAGGUGAGUUCGAUUUUAGACGACCAGGGAAUGAGUUCAACGAAUAUUAGUUGAACUAAAAUAGUCGAAUUAGAGUUAAUUCGUCUUAAGUGGUGCGAGUUCGAUUUUAGACGAGCAAGGAAUGAGUUUGAUGAAUAUUUUUGGAACUAAAAUAGUCAAAUUAGAGUUAAUUCAUCUUAAGUGACACGAGUUAUAUAGUUUAGAUGAGCAAGGAGUGGGUUAGAGGAAUAUUAGUUAAACUAAAAUAGUCUAAUUAGAGUUAAUUCAUCUUAAGUGGCACGAGUUCUAGUUUAGAUGAGGAAGGAAUGAGUUCGACAAAUUUUAGUUGAACUAAAAUAGUCGAAUUAUAGUUAAUUCGUCUUAAGUGGCGCAAGUUAUAUAGUUUAGAUGAGCAAAAAAUGAGUUAGAGGAAUAUUAGUUAAACUAAAAUAGUCGAAUUAGAAUUAAUUCGUCUUAAGUGGCGCGGAUUCUAGUUUAGAUGAGUAAGGAAUUCGUCUUAAAAUAAAAAUAUUUCUUAAUCAAAAUGUUAAUUUUUUUAAUAAAGUAGCUUAAUCAUUUUUUAAUAAAUAAAGUGGAUGUGUAUAUUAAAUAUUUUUUGAAGUAAUUUUUCUAAACAAGAAUUUAUAAUAUAGCAACAAGAGUUUUCUUAAGGCACAUAUUAAGGAUAUCAAUAAGUUAUUCUGAGUUUAACUCAAUUGAUAGAAAAUUUUUAUUAUAUAUGUAGAAGUCGUUCGGAUUUUAUACUCUUUACUUAUUUAUUUUAAGAGUGAAAUUUUUAACCACUAAACUACUUAAAAGAAAUAAAUAUUAAAAUUUAGAUCCAAGUAAUUGCUAACCUUUAAGGUACCCCAAGUUUUAUUUUUUAAAAAAAAUAUGAAAGCCGUACUCUUUUGAUUUAUAUACGAUCCAAGUAAUUUAGAACAUUCAAAAACAUUUCAAAUUGAGUAUUAUAUACGGUUCAAAAAUCUUGGUCUUACUUAUCUUAAAAAUACACCAUACAUUUCUACUGAUGCUAAUGAAUUAAUGUUAUUGUCAAUUAUCCUAUCACUAUAAGUAUAAUUGCAACCACAAAAACUGCUUCUAUUGGAGUGCUCCAUACGGUCGAUGAAAAGCAUCCCUUGCUACAAAACAAAAGCACGCCGAGACUCAAUUAUAUAUUAUAUAAAUAAAUUGAGGGUAAUCAAUUGGUAUAUCCAAAAUCAUCAUCAGGUAAAAAAGAAAUAAUAUCAAGUUGCUCUAAAUGGCCUCCUUUUUUAUUCUAUNNNNNNNNNNNNNNNNNNNNNNNNNNNNNNNNNNNNNNNNNNNNNNNNNNNNACUUUACUUCCUACACAUUCUCAUUAUGCAACCAUCAUGACAGCUCUGCCUUGUUACAAUUCAAGAACUCAUUUUUUGUCAACACUACACCUUCCGAUACUUUUUGGUUCUAUGAGUGUUCCUCUUUUUCUUUCAAAACAGAAACUUGGAAAAACAAUACAGAUUGUUGUGAGUGGGAUGGUGUCACGUGUGACACCGUGUCAGAUUAUGUUGUUGGUCUGGACCUUAGUUGCAAC
rnacentral:lncRNA from 1 species